rnacentral:rRNA from 1 species
CCAGACUCCUACGGGAGGCAGCAGUGGGGGAUAUUGCACAAUGGGGGGAACCCUGAUGCAGCGACGCCGCGUGGGUGAAGAAGUAUUUCGGUAUGUAAAGCCCUAUCGGCAGGGAAGAAUUUAGACGGUACCUGACUAAGAAGCCCCGGCUAACUACGUGCCAGCAGCCGCGGUAAUACGUAGGGGGCAAGCGUUAUCCGGAUUCACUGGGUGUAAAGGGAGCGUAGGCGGGGAUGCAAGUUGGGUGUUAAAUCUACCGGCUCAACUGGUAGUCGCACUCAAAACUGCAGCUCUUGAGCGAAGUAGAGGCAGGCGGAAUUCCUAGUGUAGCGGUGAAAUGCGUAGAUAUUAGGAGGAACACCAGUGGCGAAGGCGGCCUGCUGGGCUUUUACUGACGCUGAGGCUCGAAAGUGUGGGGAGCAAACAGGAUUAGAUACCCCAGUAAU